rnacentral:rRNA from 1 species
GUGGGGAAUAUUGCACAAUGGGGGAAACCCUGAUGCAGCGACGCCGCGUGAGUGAAGAAGUAUUUCGGUACGUAAAGCUCUAUCAGCAAGGAAGAAAAUGACGGUACUUGACUAAGAAGCCCCGGCUAACUACGUGCCAGCAGCCGCGGUAAUACGUAGGGGGCAAGCGUUAUCCGGAUUUACUGGGUGUAAAGGGAGCGUAGACGGUAUGGUAAGUCAGAUGUGAAAGCCCGGGGCUCAACCCCGGGACUGCAUUUGAAACUAUCAGACUAGAGUGCAGGAGAGGUAAGUGGAAUUCCUAGUGUAGCGGUGAAAUGCGUAGAUAUUAGGAGGAACACCAGUGGCGAAGGCGGCUUGCUGGACAGAUACUGACGCUGAGGUGCGAAAGCGUGGGGAGCGAACAGGAUUAGAAACCCUAGUAGUCC